AUGGCCGGAGCACGGGACGCCCACCCCCCGCCGCAAGCACCGCCGCCCUCCCACCGCCACGGAGCACGAACGGCGCACGCGGAGGAGCGCCGCGCCGCUGCUGCCGCACGAGUCCCCGCUCGCAGCCGGGCCGCUCCGGCGCGCCAGAGCCCCGCCGCCGCCGGAUCCGCGCGGGGCUUUGCCCGGCGGAGGCUAACGGGCGGCGGCGAGGAGGGGGGAAGCAGGGGGGGCGGCCGCUGUGGUGGCGAGAUGCGCCGCCGCCCGAGUCGCCCUGGGGAGGACGACGCGGGGGCCAGGAUCUUCUGGGGACGUCUGCAGAGAAAAAGUUCUGUGGACAAUAUACAAGGGUAA
rnacentral:rRNA from 1 species